AGGGAAGUAACUAACCCUAACGCGGAUUGACGGGCCUGGGCGGAGGGUGGGUGGGAGGGGCGGCGGAGACCUCGGCCCCUCCUCUUGCCUGCUCAUUAGUGUGCCUCGCUCGCUGGCAGCAGCCCCACCGCCCGGCAGCCCCACCGCCCGGCAGCCCCACCGCCCGGCAGCCCCGCCGCGGGGACAGAGCGUGCUGAGCCCACGAGCCCGCCGCCAGUCCCUCCGCCAGCAGGUCACUCCAGAAAAAUGAGGAUAUUUAGUGUCUUUGCAUUUAUGGCCCACUGCCAUUUGCUGAAAGCAUUUACGAUCGCAGUUUCCAAGGAACUGUAUGUGGUGGAGUACGGCGGCAAUGUGACCAUGGAGUGCAAAUUCCCAAUAGAAAAACAGUUAAACCUGCUUGCACUAAUCGUCUACUGGGAAAUGGAGGAUAAGAAAAUUAUCCAGUUUGUGAACGGGAAAGAAGACCUGCAAGUUCAGCACAGCAGCUACAGCCAGAGGGCCCAGCUGCUGAAGGACCAGCUCUUCUUGGGCAAGGCCGCGCUUCAGAUCACAGACGUGAAGUUGCAGGAUGCGGGGGUUUACUGCUGUUUGAUUGGCUAUGGCGGUGCUGACUACAAGCGGAUUACUUUGAAAGUUCAUGCCCCAUACCGCAGAAUCAACCAAAGAAUUUCUGUGGAUCCUGUCACCUCUGAACACGAACUAAUGUGUCAGGCUGAGGGUUACCCUGAGGCUGAAGUCAUCUGGACAAGCAGCGACCAUCAAGUCCUGAGUGGCAAAACCACCAUCACUAAUUCCAACGGGGAAGAGAAGCUUUUCAAUGUGACCAGCACGCUGAGAAUCAACACAACAGCUAAUGAGAUUUUCUAUUGCACUUUUCGAAGAUCAGGUCCUGAGGAAGACAGAAACAAUACUGCUAAGUUGGUCAUCCCAGAACCACUUCCAGUUCCAUCAAAUGAGAGGACUCACGUCAUGGUUCUGGGAGCUGUCCUGGUGUUUCUUGGUGUAAUCCUGGCAGUCAUUUUCUGUCUAAAGAGAAAUGGUAUUUCCUUUAUUGCAAUGGUCUCCACUGGAAAAUGAUGGAUGUGGAAAAAUGUGUCACCGGAGACAGGAACUCAAAGAAACAAAAUGCAAGUAUGAGUUAUGCCUGUCGUCAUCAGUCUCCAGAGAUACAAUUUGAAGAGACAUAAUCCAGCAUUGAAACUCCUGAUCUUAAAAGCAGGGAUUCUCUGGCUGUGGUUUGAGUGUGGCAGAGCAAUGCAUGACCAGAGCAGCGCCAUGGGCCAGGCAAGCUGCAGAUGAUGCAGGACUUCCAGGCCCAAGCACUCAACUGUGGAAGCUGGGAGAGAAGAGGAAGAGAACAAAGCAAGAAGGAGCAGAGCGGGUAGGCUGCAAGGUCCUUCAAAACAACUGGGAGACUCACGGGCACCUAAGGGAGAGAGAAGGGACGCUUCUGAAAGAUGAGCCCCCGUGCAAAUCGCCCAUCGCUCAUCCGAGGAAAACAAGUUGCAAUUCCCUGAUAAUUUAAUGGUCAGUUCCUGCAGAAGUGCCCUUUGCCUUCACUCAGUGUCUCUGCUUGUCGUCUGUGUGACUGAGAGUCCCAGUGUUACAACAGUAUUUAAGUAUGGGAUUUUUAUCUAUUUUGAGUCUUUGGAGUCUUGUCAUGUGAGUGUGGUCGUGAAUGAUUUCUUUUGAAGAUAUACUGUAGCAGAAGUUAGAAUUUUGUCACGGAACUAAAUUUACUGCUUAGUGAGUUGUGCAUGCUCAGUAAAAUGUGUAGUAUUGAUGAGGUACUUAGUAUCCUCCACAGCUACCAGGACAUAGGAAGCGUAGAGAGCAGACCCGUGGUUUAUAUAGGAUAUUACCUUGUUUAACCCACCAGUACUUUGGUUGACUCGAAUAAUCUUAUUCUCAGACCCUAAGGUAAGAUAUGUUACUGCAGCAUCUGUUCCAUUUUAAAUGUCAGCGUUAACAACUAUGUGGCAUCCUACACACAGAAUCUCAUUUAAUGCCUGGGAUAGCUAUGUUGUGGUAAGCACUGUUAUCAUACCCAUUUCGCAGCUGAGGGAGCAGAGAGCUAAAGUAACUCGCCUGAGUCAGUAAAUAGCAGAUCUCAGAUUUCUACAACUGUCACUCACUGUCCUUUUAGGAUAUAGUCUAGAGCUGUGUUUUGCUUUAAGAAAUUCAUUCAGCAAACAUUUAGGAAGCACCCAUGUCACUAGGCCAGGCAGUGACUGAGCAAGACAAAGAACCUCUCUUUUAGUAGCUCAUAGUAUCAUGGGGGAGACUGAAAAGGAAAUUCAUUAUUACAGCUUAGUGCAGUAACAUGACAUAAGGUGUUGGAGGAGAAAGAUGGCGUGAAGAGGAGAGACUAGAAAGGCUCCCUAAGGGAGGGCAUGCCCUGGGCAGUACGUCAGGGUGUUCCUUUGAAGUUCAAAAUACAUUUUUUAAAAUAUUUUAUUUAUUUAUUUGAGAGAGGGAAACAGAGAAAGAGAGAGCAUGAGCAGGGGAGAGAGGCAGAGGCAGAGAGGAAAGUAGACUCCCUAUUGAGCAGGGAUCCCAACAUGGGGCUCAAUCCCAGGACUGUUCGAUCACAACCCCAGCUGAAGACAGACACUUAGCCAUCUGAGCCACCCAGGCACCCCCAAAAAACAUUUUAAUCAAACUGAUUUCAGUUUAUGAGGACAAGUCAGUAUUUUUUUUAAUUGUGGAAAAUAACUCUUGAGCUCCUUUUCUAUCAUUGUAUUUAUGUUUGAUUUAUUUGCCUCUGCCAUGCAAUCUGGUGUUUAUAUAUAUGGUGUUGUUAUUGUUCAGCAGUUCUCUCUUUUUUUAUUUAAGUGCUGCUAAAAUUUGAAUUCAUACCUUUCUAUGAUUCAAAAUGCAGAAGGUCCAAGAGGAGACAUUAAAAAGUCCUCAUUCCAUCUUCCUAGCCAUCAGUUUUCCUUUCCAGAAGCAGCUGCUCUUGCCUUUUGUUCUUGUAAUCUUCUAAAGAUAUUUGAUAAUAUAUGUAGAAACAUAUAUAAAAGGUAUAUUUUUAUUCACAUAAAUGGUAACACACUAUUUGCCUGCUGUGCACUUUGCUAUUUUUAUUUACUGUAUUAUUUCUCAUGGGGCUGUUGGAACAAAUGUGAAGUUCCCAGAGGCCAGACACUAUCUCUUAUUUAUGUCUAGAUCAGCUUUUCCAUAGCCUGUUAGUAUCUUUUAUGACUUAGUACAUGCUAAAUAUGUACUUCAUUGACGUUUGGAUGACAAGUAAUUGUUGACUGAUUGCUGUAUGACUGAGUUUGGAUUUGGUUUAUUUUGCAUUCCUCAUAGUGAGACCAUUGGGUUCUCCAGGGUACCCUGGGUCGACCUGGUCCUAAAAAAGGCUGACUUUAUUACUAAUUCUAUAUGACAGAAUCAUGUCUGGAACUUCUGUUUUUUUCCUAUCUGUUUUCUCUUGAGUAAAAACUAGACUUUGAUAUUGUAUUCGCAAAAUGAUAGGAGUGGGUGUUGUGUUGUGUUUUGUUUUGUUUUGUUUUUUGGAAAUUUCAGUAAUGUACCUUGACUCCUACCUGUGCUAGAAAAGGCCAUGAACUGUGCCCAAACCCCUGAGUCCUACCAGUUCUCAUCACUACAUAGAUCUAAGAUGUUGCAUUUCAAAGGCUUUGAGGUUCCUAUGCCUCCCAGGAGGAGGCAUAUUCCAGCAUAUUCCUGCUCUCUUGGCCAUUUACCUGGGUUAUGGACAAAUAGAACCUUUGUUUUGUCACCUGUCAAGGCUGAGGAAACAGAAUCUCCGACAGAACUCCUUCUGUUGUCUUUUUGUUCAUGUUCAUCUGUACAGCAUCCCUUGUUUGCAUGACGAUAUCCUUUGUGUGAAGUGUAAGGGAGGAUUCUGGGUGAGCCAGAGUACACUCUAUUCACUCCAUUCCUAAAUGUUAAUGUCUCUUAUGUGUUGGAUUUGGAAGGCACUUUAUCCCCUUGUCUUGUGUUUCACUCUAAAUGGCUUGGCAGAGAGGCUAUUUAGUUCUACAUUUUAAUUGUCAUUGUUUACACUUGCAUUAAUUUAAUAAAAUAUUCUUAUUUAUUUUGUUCCUUGGU